rnacentral:misc_RNA from 1 species
GGGCUACCCGCUGCUGCUGCGGCUGCUUCUCUCUGUGUUUUCGUCUUUUCUGUCCUCGUUCUCUCUUGAUGCUUGCGGGUGGUCGCGUACACGAGCGUGUGGCGAAGACAGGGUAGAAAACUAUGAUAACACGCCGCCACACUCGUACAUGGACUCCCUCUCUCUCGCCACAGACAACCACCACUGGCUUCUUGUGGGGAAGAGGACACGACAUUGAGUCGCACUCCAGACGGUAUUACAUUUAACAUAGAAGCUGUGCUUACUUCGCUUUAUCUGCGUGCACCUCGGUCUCCUCUAAGGGGUCGACCUCCGGCAUGGGAUGAAGCCUCUUCGAACCAAGAAACGAGAGAGCGCCGGCGCACCCGCUGAAGACGAGGCACCGACUGGCUUGACUUCCUCCGCCUCUUCUGUGGCGGCAGGCAGUCUUGCCCCUCGCCAUGUGCCGUCACCGCCGCCUGUGAAAGGAGGGCGUUUGUCGGCGCAUCCGGGGCACGACUCCGGCCCUUCAACUGCCACUGCCGCUCCUGCGCCGACUAUGAAAGUCUCUGCGGCUGUGAAGUUUUCGUCAGAGCUCGACAACGCCGCCGUGGAGGCGUACUUGGAGUACUUGACCCAUCCACACACGAGCUGGGAAAGUGCCUCACGCCAUGUGACGCACCGCCGCGAGGUCAUCGAGGAACACCGCAAUUCCAUUUACGCCCGCUCCCUCGCCAUGCUGCGCCGCUCGUCGUUCGCCUCUACUAUCCGCAGCGAGGGCGGCGACCUAGAUGCCCUAGAGACAAGUACGACCUCCUCCGUUGCCUCCGCGCCCGCCGGGUUUCCGCGCACCGCGCCAAACGGCAGCAAGAAAGCAACAGGAACCUUGCGUAAGGGCCGGCUUGGGGAUACAGGGCCGCCCCUGCUGCCCUCCGACGCCGCAGAGCCAUUAGCCAUUGUGACGCACUCCUCGGCUGCGGUCAGCAGCAGCCACAGCGCGGACUCGGCAAGUCGCACCUCCACCGGCACCGGGCAGCGAGCGCCGUCAAACAAGGGGCGCUUGCUGCGUGGUCCAGCGCUGGCGGGACCACCGCGGCCACACCGCACAUCAUCGUCCGCUACGGCACCGGCUGUAGUGGUUGAGAGUGUGUUGGGCAUUGGAGGCACGAAACUGCUGGGUGGCAGCGGCAAUGUGUUCUUGGUCAACGGUCACAGCUCAGCAGUGACAAGCCGUACGGCAUCGCGCGACAGUGCCGACAGGGCGCCCCCCGUAGUCCCGCAAGGGGGUGUUGAGAGCCUGAUUCAUUGCAAGAGGACUGGCGGCGCGCCUGCGGGGGUUCCAUCCCCUCAUCCGAAGCACCGGUUAAAGUAGACAACCACCGUGCUGUGGACGGUCGCACGGUGCCCCGUGCGAUUCUCGUACGUGAGUGCGGCGCCGUAGGAACGUGGUGGGCCUUGUCUGCCUCUUUUUCGCCCGAGGCGGUCUUUCCGUGAGAGACCGGUGCGGACGGUGAUGCGGGUGUGCUGUAUGUGCGUGUCCAACGACGUUGUUGCCUGUCCGUUCGCGAUCAGCUCCCGUUACUUCCUCUGGUCCUCCUUCCAAGACCCCCUUCCAAGGACUAUCCUACCAUGCACGCACAGGCACGCAGUGCAUAACGUGCGUGGAGCUCACGCCGUCACAGGGCGUGUCGCAUCACCGCGUUCAUCCGUGUGGCCUGCUUGCCGAUCGCUGCCACAUGCGCCAUCGUUUUCUGGCUCGUUCGGCGUGCGUUGCUUCUCGCCUGUUUCGCUACUGGGAUUCUAGUUGAAGGGGCUGCAGGGACAAGGCAUACGCACACACGGCACACCCAAGGGGAGCGGCAGGUAGGUGCUGCAGGCGCGGCCGCAUUCGUCAUCUCCGCUGCGGUGGCCAGACAGGAAAUCGGCAUGGCUCCCUGCACCCUUGGCUGAUGUACGCGUGCGUGUGUGAUGCGGUAUGCGCCCUGCAUUGCCCCCUCCCAACCCCCC